GAUGAACGCUGGCGGCGUGCCUAAUACAUGCAAGUCGAGCGAACAGACGAGGAGCUUGCUCCUCUGACGUUAGCGGCGGACGGGUGAGUAACACGUGGAUAACCUACCUAUAAGACUGGGAUAACUUCGGGAAACCGGAGCUAAUACCGGAUAAUAUAUUGAACCGCAUGGUUCAAUAGUUAAAGACGGUUUUGCUGUCACUUAUAGAUGGAUCCGCGCCGCAUUAGCUAGUUGGUAAGGUAACGGCUUACCAAGGCAACGAUGCGUAGCCGACCUGAGAGGGUGAUCGGCCACACUGGAACUGAGACACGGUCCAGACUCCUACGGGAGGCAGCAGUAGGGAAUCUUACGCAAAGGGCGAAAGCCUGACGGAGCAAAGCCGCGUGAGUGAUGAAGGUCUUAGGAUCGUAAAACUCUGUUAUUAGGGAAGAACAAAUGUGUAAGUAACUAUGCACGUCUUGACGGUACCUAAUCAGAAAGCCACGGCUAACUACGUG
rnacentral:rRNA from 1 species